GCCAGCCUGGCUUAGUGGUUUGAGCGUGUUGGACUAUGACUCUGGAGACCAGGGUUCAAAUCCUGGCUCAGCCA